UCGGAAUUACUGGGCGUAAAGCGCAUGCAGGUGGUUUGUUAAGUCAGAUGUGAAAGCCCGGGGCUCAACCUCGGAAUUGCAUUUUGAAACUGGCAAACUAGAGUACUGUAGAGGGGGGUAGGAAUUUCAGGUGUAGCGGUGAAAUGCGUAGAGAUCUGAAGGAAUACCGGUGGCGAAGGCGGCCCCCUGGACAGAUACUGACACUCAGAUGCGAAAGACGUGGGGAGCAAACAGGAUUAGAUACCCUGGUAG
rnacentral:rRNA from 1 species